UCCCAGACUCCUACGGGAGGCAGCAGUGAGGAAUAUUGGUCAAUGGCCGAGAGGCUGAACCAGCCAAGUCGCGUGAGGGAAGACGGCCCUACGGGUUGUAAACCUCUUUUGUCGGGGAGCAAAGCGAGUCACGUGUGACUCAUUGAGAGUACCCGAAGAAAAAGCAUCGGCUAACUCCGUGCCAGCAGCCGCGGUAAUACGGAGGAUGCGAGCGUUAUCCGGAUUUAUUGGGUUUAAAGGGUGCGCAGGCGGAGGUGCAAGUCAGCGGUCAAAUUGCGGGGCUCAACCCCGUACUGCCGUUGAAACUGCAACCCUUGAGUGCGCGAGAAGUAUGCGGAAUGCGUGGUGUAGCGGUGAAAUGCUUAGAUAUCACGAAGAACCCCGAUUGCGAAGGCAGCCUGCCGCAGCGUUACUGACGCUGAAGCUCGAAAGCGCGGGUAUCGAACAGGAUUAGAUACCCCCGUA
rnacentral:rRNA from 1 species